rnacentral:rRNA from 1 species
GGGCCCGCACAAGCGGCGGAGCAUGUGGAUUAAUUCGAUGCAACGCGAAGAACCUUACCUGGGCUUGACAUGCAUCAGACUGCCCCAGAGAUGGGGUUUCCCUUGUGGUUGGUGUACAGGUGGUGCAUGGCUGUCGUCAGCUCGUGUCGUGAGAUGUUGGGUUAAGUCCCGCAACGAGCGCAACCCUCGUUCCAUGUUGCCAGCGUGUUAGGGCGGGGACUCAUGGGAGACUGCCGGGGUCAACUCGGAGGAAGGUGGGGAUGACGUCAAGUCAUCAUGCCCCUUAUGUCCAGGGCUUCACACAUGCUACAAUGGCUCAUACAGAGGGUUGCGAGAUCGUGAGGUGGAGCGAAUCCCUUAAAGUGAGUCUCAGUUCGGAUCGGGGUCUGCAACUCGACCCCGUGAAGUCGGAGUCGCUAGUAAUCGCAGAUCAGCAGUGCUGCGGUGAAUACGUUCCCGGGCCUU